AUUGAACGCUGGCGGCAGGCCUAACACAUGCAAGUCGAACGAGUGGCGGACGGGUGAGUAAUGUCUGGGAAACUGCCUGAUGGCGGGGGAUAACUAAUGGAAACGGUAGCUAAUACCGCAUACCAUCAGAUGUGCCCAGAGGGGAUUAGCUAGUUGGGGGGGAAACGGCGCACCAAGGCGACGAUCCCUCGCUGGUCUGAGAGGAUGACCAGCCAAACUGGAACUGAGAAACGGUACAGACUCCGACGGGAGGCAGCAGUGGGGAAUAUUGCACAAUGGGCUCAAGCCUGAUGCAGCCAUGCCGCGUGUAUGAAGAAGGCCGUCGGGUUGUAAAGUACUUUCAGCGGGGAGGCGUUACCCGCAGAAGAAGCACCGGCUAACUCCGUGCCAGCAGCCGCGGUAAUUC
rnacentral:rRNA from 1 species